CUCAGCUCAGCCAGAGAGAUUGCAUGUAGUUCAGUUCUUCCCUACAGAGCUUGUCUCAGGACAUGCACAGGGAAAUCUGGCCUUUUUCUUUAAAUGUACAUCCUCCAGUAUAUUUUCCUGAGGGAAAGAAGGCUGCAGAUCAGUCUGAGCAGAAAAUGGUGUUCUGUGAUGCAGUAUCUCCAGAGGGCUGACAGCUGACCACAAUUUGAGAAUGGAAGAGGAGUGACUUUGGUUUUACCCAUAUAAGUUGCAAGAUUUGGACGUCAGCAAAUGUCACAGUGAAUGGUAUUUUUUCUGGCAUUUAUUUAUUUGGAACUUUUGCUAUAUUUUUAUAUUUCUUUGCUUAUUUUUGUGAAUAACCUCAAUUGUUGUUGUUUCGUUUUUGUUUUGUGUGGUUCCUUCACACCAAAAAAGUGGAAUUUUUCCUUCAGUUACUCUGCAACAGAAAAUCAUACAGUUCCUAUUGAAACACUUCUGAAAGUCAGUAUAAUCCCAGUGGCAUUCAGAACAACUGAUGUGUGCUAAAUGGGAUUGCAAAGAGAGCCACUCUUCAUAAAACCCUACAUGCCAAAAUCCAUUUAAUGCUUCCUUUUAAGAGCCCCAGCUGAGAAAGAGCAGAGUUUUGUUAAGCUUGACAAAGUAACAUCUCGCUCCCCAAGCAAAUGCAACUAAGGUGGAUGGGUUCUAACAAC